GGGGGCUUCAGAGAGUGAGCUGGGUGUGGUAGAACAGGUUAGGUAGAAGAUGUCCCCUGACCCAUGUCUAUGUUAUGUUAUGUUUGGCUAUGCUAGGAAUAGCAGAACAUGAGGAAAAUAAAUGGAUUUGUGUAGACUGAACUAACAUCAGUCAAGGAAAGCAAACUGUAUUCUGUUUGGCCUCAUACAUCAACAGAACUGUUGAAUGCAUUGCUGGUGAAGAUGAAAGAAGCAGAAAGAACCCAAUUUGAAUCUCAGAGUUAAGCAAGGAUGACCAGAACUCCAUGAUGCUGAGAGAUCAGUCCUGUCCUUUCCUUGGUGCAAUUACAUGACAACUUUAGGCUCUCAGGCGUGUGAGGAGGGAGAAGAAAAACAAGAUGUGCAAGGAUGUAAGUCAGGCUAUAACCAUGAACACCUAGUCAAUGCCAUCAAACAACUGUCAAAGGAGAUGCUACCAACUUCCUUGCUGUUGAAAGGCAACCCAAGAGCCCCUGAAGACACAGUGUCUGGGACAUGUAGGUGAGAAUUCUUCAAUCUGUUCUUCAAAUCUCAAUCAUCUAGAUGUUUGCCUACAGAAAGGGCAACAGCAAUACAUUGUAUUAAAUAUAAAUGAAUACAGUAGAAAUUCUUCCAUGGAUAUUCUAGAUACAUCACUGUUAUUGCCCAUCUCAGAAGACUCAUUGGGUGAUGACUUGCCAUCUCCUCUUUUAUUGUCCAGUUCAUGAGUUAAUCCUUCUGGCUGCUGUAUGAAGCUGUAGGCAAUUAAUAAUAAUUCAUCACUGUUUGCUGAAAGCAUAUUGUGUUGUGUGAAAGAGAUGUAAUCUCAAAAUAUAUGAGGUGAAGCAAGGA